rnacentral:rRNA from 1 species
GAUGAACGCUGGCGGCGUGCCUAAUACAUGCAAGUCGAGCGAACAGAUGAGAAGCUUGCUUCUCUGAUGUUAGCGGCGGACGGGUGAGUAACACGUGGGUAACCUACCUAUAAGACUGGGAUAACUCCGGGAAACCGGGGCUAAUACCGGAUAAUAUUUUGAACCGCAUGGUUCAAUAGUGAAAGACGGUUUCGGCUGUCACUUAUAGAUGGACCCGCGCCGUAUUAGCUAGUUGGUAAGGUAACGGCUUACCAAGGCGACGAUACGUAGCCGACCUGAGAGAGUGAUCGGCCACACUGGAACUGAGACACGGUCCAGACUCCAACGGGAGGCAGCAGUAGGGAAUCUUCCGCAAUGGGCGAAAGCCUGACGGAGCAACGCCGCGUGAGUGAUGAAGGUCUUCGGAUCGUAAAACUCUGUUGUUAGGGAAGAACAAAUUUGUUAGUAACUGAACAAGUCUUGACGGUACCUAACCAGAAAGCCACGGCUAACUACGUGCCAGCCGCCGCGGUAA